rfam:Capsella rubella cultivar Monte Gargano unplaced genomic scaffold scaffold_8, whole genome shotgun sequence.
AAGCCAUGAUGAGAGUAUUGAAAUUUGUAGCGGUUUAUCCCUUCCCAUGCUUCACAUAAGCUAUUUCCUUUUUGAGUGAAGCUUGAUAUUUUGUUUUAUAACCU